rnacentral:rRNA from 1 species
CCCUUAGAUGUUCUGGGCUGCACGCGCGCUACACUGAAGCGUUCAACGAGUAUUCACCUUGCCCGGGAGGGUUGGGUAAUCUUUUGAAAACGCUUCGUGAUGGGGAUAGAUUAUUGCAAUUAUUGGUCUUCAACGAGGAAUUCCUAGUAGACGUAGUUCAUCAGACUGCAUCGAUUACGUCCCUGCCCUUUGUACACACCGCCCGUCGCUCCUACCGAUUGAAUGCUCAGGUGAGCCAUUCGGACUUUCAUCAUGCUGGUUUCCAGUUUUGAUGAAGGAAAGUCUUGCGAACCUUAUCAUUUAGAGGAAGGAGAAGUCGUAACA